AUACGGAGGGUGCAAGCGUUACUCGGAAUCACUGGGCGUAAAGCGCGCGCAGGCGGGCUGAUAAGUUGGAUGUGAAAGCCUACGGCUCAACCGUAGAACUGCAUCCAAAACUGUCAGUCUAGAGUCUGGGAGGGGAAGAUGGAAUUAGUUGUGUAGGGGUAAAAUCCGUAGAGAUAACUAGGAAUACCAAAAGCGAAGGCGAUCUUCUGGAACAGUACUGACGCUGAGGCGCGAAAGCGUGGGGAGCAAACAGAAUUAGAUACCCCAGUAGUCC
rnacentral:rRNA from 1 species